GCUUGGGCCACUCAGGCAUCAAUAACCAAAAUCUGCCAGGCGGCGACCUGGGCAUCCCCGUCACCUUUUAUCAGACACUACAAGAUUGAUGUCUUUGCCUCAGCAGAGGCUUCCUUUGGUAGACGAGGGUGCUACAACAGU